CAUAUGCAUACUCCUUCAAUUUUUCCCUCCUACUGGUGUUGUGAUCUGGAGAAGCUCAAGUAGUCAUCUUCGUCCAUCACGUCACUGCAUACGCAUACGCCUCUGAUUUUUGACUCCUGCUCAAAGGAAUAGGAACAUUUCCCGCAAAAAAAGGAAUAGGAUUGUGCUCCUCCCAAAAGACAAAAGCAAGAGUAAGUAUUGCUUCUCACACCCUAUAGAAAAAAUAAUGUCACAAAUCACUUUUUCCCUUGAAAUAUUUACGGUAGCAAAUAUUCAUCUAAUGCAGCACUGCAGACAAUAAAAAUCCAGCACCAACAAUGAAUAGCUGGAGUAAACAAAACAAGCAAACCAAAUCGUGUCGGCCCUCGAGGAAGGGUUGCAGUGUCGAGGAGCAGCAGACAUGUAAAUCUGACUGCAAUUCAUGUCACGGUGGAUGGUUUGAGAGGAGGGAGGCAGAGCAGAGACAAACGGCGCAUUCCGUCAUGCAUGUGUGUGGAUUUGUAUCAUCCUACUACUGUAUUGCUUUGUUUUACAGUAAUAAAUAAAGAGAUGAAUCAGAUUUUCUUUGGUUCGUUAGCAAAAUUUUACACAUCAAGUAUUUGAUCUCAGAUCUUCUAUUUCGGUUUGGUAUAUGAGCCUUUUGCCCA